UGACGGCCAGUGAUGAUGAGCAUUUUUUCAUAUGUCGGUGGGCUGCAUAAAUGUCUUCUUUUGAGAAGUGUCUGUUCAUAUCCUGUGCCCACUUUUUGAUGGGGUUGUUUUUUUCUUGCAAAUUUGUUUAAGUUCUUUGUAGAUUCUGGAUAUUAGCCCUUUGUCAGACGGAUAGAUUGCAAAAAAUUUCUCCCAUUCUAUGGGUUACCUGUUCACUCUGAUGAUAGUUUCUUUUGCUGUGCAGAAGCUCUUUAGUUUAGAUCCCAUUUGUCAAUUUUGGCUUUUGUUGUGCAGAAGCUCUUUAGUUUAGAUCCCAUUUGUCAAUUUUGGCUUUUGUUGCCAUUGCUUUUGGUGUUUUAGACAUGAAGUCCUAGCCCAUGCCUAUGUCCUGAAUGGUAUUGCCUAGGUUUUCUUCUAGGGUUUUUAUGGUUUUAGGUCUAACAUUUAAGUCUCUAAUCCAUCUUGAAUUAAUUUUCAUAUAAGGAGUAAGGAAAGGAUCCAGUUUCAGCUUUCUACUUAUGGCUAGCCAAUUUUCCCAGCACCAUUUAUUAAAUAGGGAAUCCUUUCCCCAUUUCUUGUUUUUGUCAGGUUUGCCAAAGAUCAGAUGGCUGUAGAUGUGUGGUAUUAUUUCUGAGGGCUCUGUUCUGUUCCUUUGGUCUAUAUCUCUGUUUUGGCUGUUUUGGUUAGUGUAGCCUUGCAAUAUA
rnacentral:lncRNA from 1 species